GGAGAGGUGGCCGAGCGGUUGAAGGCGCAGUCCUGGAAAGACUGUAUACCCGAGAGGGUAUCGAGGGUUCGAAUCCCUCCCUCUCCG
rnacentral:tRNA from 1 species